rnacentral:rRNA from 1 species
CAAUAGCGUAUAUUUAAGUUGCUGCAGUUAAAAAGCUCGUAGUUGGAUUUCGGGUGGGAAUGGCCGGUCCGCCGUUUCGGUGUGCACUUGCUACGCCCACCUUGCUGCCGGGGACGUGCUCUUGAGUUCACGCUCGGGACACGGAGUCGGCGAGGUUACUUUGAGUAAAUUAGAGUGUUCAAAGCAUGCCUACGCUCUGAAUACAUUAGCAUGGAAUAACACGAUAGGACUCUGGCCUAUCUUGUUGGUCUGUAGGACCGGAGUAAUGAUUAAGAGGGACAGUCGGGGGCAUUCGUAUUUCAUUGUCAGGGGUGAAAUUCUUGGAUUUAUGAAAGACGAACUACUGCGAAAGCAUUUGCCAAGGAUGUUUUCAUUAA